rnacentral:rRNA from 1 species
ACGGCUCAGUAACACGUAGCUAACCUGCCCUUGGGAUAGGAACAACCCCGGGAAACUGGGGCUAAUUCCCAAUAGGUGAAGAACUCUGGAAUGAGUCUCCAGCAGAAAGGACACAUACGCUAUGCUCGUAUGUUUCGCCCAAGGAUGGGGCCGCGACCGAUCAGGUUGUUGGUGAGGUAAUGGCUCACCAAGCCUUUUACCGGUGCGGGCCGUGGGAGCGGGAGCCCGGAGAUGGGCACUGAGACAAGGGCCCAGGCCCUACGGGGCGCAGCAGUCGCGAAAACUUUGCAAUAAGCGAAAGCUUGACAGGGCUAUCCCGAGUGCCAUCCGCUGAGGAAGGCUUUUACCCAGUCUAGAACGCUGGGGGAAUAAGGAGAGGGCAAGUCUGGUGUCAGCCGCCGCGGUAAUACCAGCUCUCCGAGUGGUGUGGAUGUUUAUUGGGCCUAAAGCAUCCGUAGCUGGCUAAGUUAGUCCCUUGUUAAAUCCACCAAAUUAAUUGUUGGAUUGCGGGGGAUACUGCUUGGCUAGGGGACGAGAGAGGCAGACGGUAUUUUCGGGGUAGGGGUGAAAUCCUAUAAUCCCGGGAAGACCACCAGUGGCGAAGGCUGUCUGCUAGAACGCGCCCGACGGUGAGGGAUGAAAGCUGGGGGAGCGAACCGGAUUAGAUACCCGGGUAGUCCCAGCUGUAAACGAUGCAGGCUAGGUGUUUGGACGGCCACGUGCCGUUCUAGUGCCGCAGGGGAGCUGUUAAGCCUGCCGCCUGGGGAGUACGAUCGCAAGAUUGAAACUUAAAGGAAUUGGCGGGGGAG